rnacentral:rRNA from 1 species
UACGUAGGGUGCAAGCGUUAAUCGGAAUUACUGGGCGUAAAGCGUGCGCAGGCGGUUUUGUAAGUUUGUCGUGAAAGCCCCGGGCUCAACCUGGGAAUGGCGAUGAAGACUGCAAGGCUUGAAUCUGGCAGAGGGGGGUAGAAUUCCACGUGUAGCAGUGAAAUGCGUAGAGAUGUGGAGGAACACCGAUGGCGAAGGCAGCCCCCUGGGAUAACACUGACGCUCAUGCACGAAAGCGUGGGGAGCAAACAGG